CUGAAAAGUGUCUACAUGCAUUACCAUAGCCUUGGAUAAAGUAUGCACAGCUGGUCACUCUCAUGAACUCUUCAAUUUCAGUACUUAAGGGUGCACCACCGGAGAUUAGUAGGCGAAGACGGCCACCGAGCCUUGCCUUGACCUAAAGCAAGGAAAUGCAACAAAAAAAAAGGUAAAAUCCGGGACGGUUGUCCAACCACAACGUAAUCCCUCUUCCACGCGCAUCGGUUUGCGGACGAACCAGAGGUACUGAGAUCAUGGUGUAUAGGAAGUCAGAAACUGCCAAGAGUCACGCGGAAGGGUAGCACAAACAAUUUAGCACUGAUCUUCUGAAUACCAGAGGACGGAGACGCAGCCCAUCAGCUUCACUUGGCACUUUUAGUUGGAAGGACCCCGUUCGAGUAAAGUCUGAACCUACCAAGCUCUACCGAUUGAAUGAGCCAAUCGUACAACAAAAAGAUAAAAAAAAAAUGAGCUCAGAAAAGCCUUGCUGUCCGCUCACUAGCUCUACCGGUAACCUGACCUUUGAUGCAGCUGGCGAAGUUCGCAUUGGAUGUCCCCAGCCAGGCAGCAGGCUGUUCGCAUUGACAUCUGCUAUCCUGUCAACUUGAUAGGUAAUUCUUCCUCUACCAAACGCAAACAGUACCUUUUUCCAAGCUCCGAUUUU